rnacentral:rRNA from 1 species
UGGGGAAUUUUGGACAAUGGGGGCAACCCUGAUCCAGCAAUGCCGCGUGUGUGAAGAAGGCCUUCGGGUUGUAAAGCACUUUUGUCCGGGAAGAAAUCGCACCUGAUAAUACCGGGUGUGGAUGACGGUACCGGAAGAAUAAGGACCGGCUAACUACGUGCCAGCAGCCGCGGUAAUACGUAGGGUCCAAGCGUUAAUCGGAAUUACUGGGCGUAAAGCGUGCGCAGGCGGUUGUGCAAGACCGAUGUGAAAUCCCCGGGCUUAACCUGGGAAUUGCAUUGGUGACUGCACGGCUAUAGUGUGUCAGAGGGGGGUAGAAUUCCACGUGUAGCAGUGAAAUGCGUAGAGAUGUGGAGGAAUACCGAUGGCGAAGGCAGCCCCCUGGGAUAACACUGACGCUCAUGCACGAAAGCGUGGGGAGCAAACAGG